UACGAAGGGGGGCUAGCGUUGCUCGGAAUCACUGGGCGUAAAGCGCACGUAGGCGGCUUCUUAAGUCAGGGGUGAAAUCCUGGAGCUCAACUCCAGAACUGCCUUUGAUACUGGGGAGCUCGAGUCCGGAAGAGGUGAGUGGAACUGCGAGUGUAGAGGUGAAAUUCGUAGAUAUUCGCAAGAACACCAGUGGCGAAGGCGGCUCACUGGUCCGGUACUGACGCUGAGGUGCGAAAGCGUGGGGAGCAAACAGGG
rnacentral:rRNA from 1 species